rnacentral:rRNA from 1 species
AGUCGAGCGAGCUUGCCUAGAUGAUUUUAGUGCUUGCACUAAAUGAAACUAGAUACAAGCGAGCGGCGGACGGGUGAGUAACACGUGGGUAACCUGCCCAAGAGACUGGGAUAACACCUGGAAACAGAUGCUAAUACCGGAUAACAACACUAGACGCAUGUCUAGAGUUUGAAAGAUGGUUCUGCUAUCACUCUUGGAUGGACCUGCGGUGCAUUAGCUAGUUGGUAAGGUAACGGCUUACCAAGGCAAUGAUGCAUAGCCGAGUUGAGAGACUGAUCGGCCACAUUGGGACUGAGACACGGCCCAAACUCCUACGGGAGGCAGCAGUAGGGAAUCUUCCACAAUGGACGAAAGUCUGAUGGAGCAACGCCGCGUGAGUGAAGAAGGGUUUCGGCUCGUAAAGCUCUGUUGGUAGUGAAGAAAGAUAGAGGUAGUAACUGGCCUUUAUUUGACGGUAAUUACUUAGAAAGUCACGGCUAACUACGUGCCAGCAGCCGCGGUAAUACGUAGGUGGCAAGCGUUGUCCGGAUUUAUUGGGCGUAAAGCGAGUGCAGGCGGUUCAAUAAGUCUGAUGUGAAAGCCUUCGGCUCAACCGGAGAAUUGCAUCAGAAACUGUUGAACUUGAGUGCAGAAGAGGAGAGUGGAACUCCAUGUGUAGCGGUGGAAUGCGUAGAUAUAUGGAAGAACACCAGUGGCGAAGGCGGCUCUCUGGUCUGCAACUGACGCUGAGGCUCGAAAGCAUGGGUAGCGAACAGGAUUAGAUACCCUGGUAGUCCAUGCCGUAAACGAUGAGUGCUAAGUGUUGGGAGGUUUCCGCCUCUCAGUGCUGCAGCUAACGCAUUA